AGUGAACGCUGGCGGUAGGCCUAACACAUGCAAGUCGAACGGCAGCACAGUAAGAGCUUGCUCUUACGGGUUGCGAGUGGCGGACGGGUGAGGAAUACAUCGGAAUCUACUUUUUCGUGGGGGAUAACGUAGGGAAACUUACGCUAAUACCGCAUACGACCUACGGGUGAAAGCAGGGGAUCUUCGGACCUUGCGCGAUUGAAUGAGCCGAUGUCGGAUUAGCUAGUUGGCGGGGUAAAGGCCCACCAAGGCGACGAUCCGUAGCUGGUCUGAGGGGAUGAUCAGCCACACUGGAACGGAGACACGGUCCAGACUACUACGGGAGGCAGCAGUGGGGAAUAUUGGACAAUGGGCGCAAGCCUGAUCCAGCCAUACCGCGUGGGUGAAGAAGGCCUUCGGGUUGUAAAGCCCUUUUGUUGGGAAAGAAAAGCAGCAGGUUAAUACCCAGCUGUUCUGACGGUACCCAAAGAAUAAGCACCGGCUAACUUCGUG
rnacentral:rRNA from 1 species